UGUCCGCCGGAAAGGCCCGCCCCUUCCUGCGGCGGCCAAUAGGUGCCAGCCACGCCCCUGUGGACCCGCCCCGGGGACGGCACGAAGGGCACGCCCCCGGAGGAGCCGGAGAGCGGCCGCUAGGUGGCGUCGCAGGAAGGCAAGUUCUCACCAGGGGAGCUCUUCCCCAUCCUUACGCUGCUGCCAUUGUGAUGCCACCCACUGUGAGGGCCGCACUAGAGCUGAAGUGAUGCCAGCACCAAGCCCUGGAACCACUCCUUCUCCGUAAGAUGUUGCUGAUUGAUCUUCAACUCUUCUCCAAUCAGCAGUUAGGAAUCCAGCUUUCUUCCUCUUUGGCUCCAGUUCAAUAUCUACCAUCUAAAUUCAGCCUGCUCACUUGGCUCCACCAGAAAAAAAGGGAAAGGACACUUGUCAUCAGGCCU